rnacentral:lncRNA from 1 species
CCCCGCGCCUUGCGUCACGCCCCCAGGAUGACGUCGAAGGCCACCCUGGCCGGCCACGUGGGCCGCUGCCCCCGAGACCCGCGUGGCAGCAGCGGUGCCCAGCGUGGGGAGCGGAGGGAGCGCGCAGGCUCCUCGGGGCGGUCCUCGAGCCUGACUGGAGCCCGGGUCCUGGCCCAAACUCAGCCGGCCCUGAGGGGUUGAGGGACCGGGACCGCGGGCGCGACCGCCCCGGGCGCCUCCUCCCCGGCCGGCACCGCGAGGCGCUCUCCGCGCCAGUUCUGCCCCGGGCCCCGCCGCGCUCUCCCGACCCGCCCUCCGCUUCCCAGGACCUUGCUGAGCCCGGCGCACUGCGCGGGAGGGCGCGACAGUGCUGCCCCAGCUGUGCCCGGGACAUCGCCUGCGCCCCGAGCCCCGGUCGCCGGGGUGGUGCGCCCGCGCUCGGUGCCACGUCGGAACUGCCCGGAGCGCGCGGUGAUGGCGCGGGACCCUCCUCCCGGGUCCCGGCGAGCGGAGGAGGGCGGAGCGGGCCCGGGCCGCUGAGCCCCUGGGUCCCCGCCGCGAGGCGCCGGGCUGCUCAGCAUCCUCCCCUCCGCGGGAGCCGGGCAGGGGCACACGCGUCGCCCUCCAGUGGGGGCUCCUGGCCGGCGAGCAGCCCCGAGGACGCUGCGCGGGAGGCCCGUCCGGGAGCGCACACGAGGGCACCCAGCGCUACGGCGGUCGGAGGGGCCGCCCGGCCUCCGGUCUAUGGGAAAGCUCCACUGCGGUGCACCCGGCUUGGUGCGGAGCCUGCGCCGACAGCGUGUGAGGCGCUCGGGCUUCCGCGCGUAACCCCCGGGCGCGGCGGAGCCUACCUUGCUCAGCUGUGCAUGCAGCCGUCCUCAGCUGCCUGCGCGGCCCGGCGGGGCGGGAGCAGUGUCCAGGGCCGAGGUGAUGGAGCUCAGAUGGACUUGAGACGGUCGGCCAGAAAGCAGAGGAAAUUUACAAACAACAUUUAAAAAGUGGGGUGGAGAUUGCUUGGCUCCGACGAUUGCCAACCUGUGAGACCCCAGAGGCUUCGAAGCUUCGAGCUUCCAGCCUGGAGCAGCGUUGUGCAGUGCUGUGUCUUAGUACCCUGCGAGAGUCCCGAUGCUCAUGGCUCAAGCAACGAGGACACUCAAUUACAGGGAAACUGUCACAUGCAAAAAAGAGUUCUAGCAGCAAGAACAGGAAUAUGAGCAGCGGUCCUGUCACGCGAAGUAUGACUACAGGAAAGAGUAGGACUGUGAACAGCACGGACUUCCCAACUCCUCUUCGCCUUGCAUGUUCAGGUAGUUUAAAAGUCUUGAUUGUGGUCGUGAUUAAGUAUCCAUGGCUUCUUACAUUUUUAAAGAGUUGUUCUGUGACUAACAUGCAAUAUGUCCUUGGGAAAAACCCACAUGAACCUGAGAAGAAUGUGCAUUCUGCUGCUGCUGGAAUAAUGUUCUGUAUGCAUGCAUCAUUACCAUUUGGUCUGGAGUGUAUUAUGCAGCACUCUGAGAAGGUAAAAAAGGUGCAUCCCCAUCUUCAUCAGGGGAGCAAAAUUGCCAUGUUUUCCACUUCGCCACAUUGACAUCUGAGGGAGGCUCUGCUAUUCCUGGGUGCAGGUCGAACUCUGGCUCGUCCUUUGAUUUCCACUGCUGUGCCCCAGCUGUCACGAGUGUGUUAAUGCAGCCUGUGUGUCCUGCACUGACACAGCAGCUGGAGGCAGUGGGAAAGCCCUGGAUCCCUGCAUGCCUCAUGGACCUCAUCCCAGGGUGGAGUAGGACUAGUGCCUCAUGACUGCAGCUGGACGGAAGCUCUGGUUUCCCUGAGUCUCCUUGAUGUCUCAGAGCUCUGAGGUCUUCUCACAAGCAGACAGACAGUGCUGGUUUCCUCUUCCCUCUCUGACACCACUGAGGGCAGCUGAUGACGGUGACAAUCCAGGCUCCUCGCUGAAGCUUUGCUCUGGGCAGGGUGGCACCACAGCCUGUUCUGCAGUGUUUGGCUGGAGUAGAGCAGAGUCUGUCUCCAAGUUCGCUGUCUUGCUGGGCGGCCCCUUCGGUGAGCUGCUGGCUGAAGAGAAAAGGCUUCCAGGAGGCAUUGCUGUGGUUGUCUGCACUUGUUGGCAUUUCUGGGUGGCCACGUUCUUCACUGCAUAUGCGAGGUUUAUAAAGCAAAAAGAAAAUCCCAGGAGACUCACCACUGUGUCAUUGCUUAAAUCCCAAGGUCUCGAGCCAAUCUGCCUUCUAUUCUUCACAUUUCAAGGCCUUCUUAUCUCUGUCUCCUGUGUAAUUUUCAAGGUUUUUAGUUGUGCUCAGUAGAAGAAAUAAGGAAAAGCAUAUCUGCUUCCCCCCUCCCCUGUGAGAACUAAUGUGAUUACUUGCUUUCGUAAAGUCUACAUAACUUAACAAAACAUACUGUAUGGGGAAGAUAAUAGAUCUGUAAAAUCUAAUUGUGUUUGAAAUAAUUCCUAUCAAAUUAGGUCAGAAAGACAAACUAAAAAAUCGAAAGCUUCUGCAAUGGGAUUGCAUUUCAAGUGUCUCUAGAUUCUCACAAAACCCCAGGGAAAUCAUAAUUGGAAAUUAAAGAAGUUGGACUAAUCUUAUGGCAGAAGAGACAGAUGGUACUAAUUAGGGGACAUGAGCCUGUGUCCCUUUCCUUACCAAUGCCAUAACUGUAUAUUAAAAGAUAGAAAAAUUACUGCAUACAUAUGUGUACAGUUGAAACAUAAUAUAUUUAAAGUUAACUUUUAACUCUUGACAGGGAAGAAAUGGAAGGUGCUCAUUUUCAAUGCAGUGCUAGAACUUGACUUCCCACUUUCAGGGAUAUUCCUUUCAAUUAGAUAAGCCAGGAAAGUUAAGACACCUGUAGAAAGUUUUGAAUUUUCAACAAGACUUAGAUAAUGACUGCCUAAACUCUGCAUGUCUGACUGAACUAGAAAAGCCAAUGUGCAGAGCAACUCUAGCUUAGCAUCAAUGUGCUGCACAUCACUUUAAAGUGUGCCUCCAAUGGGAAUGUGGUCAUUGUUUGCACAUGUGCACACUCACUGUCACACACACAUGAAGAUCCUUUGGGAAACACAGCUCACCAAGCCUUGCACCUGCACUUCUGGGUGGCAGUAACCUGACAUUGGAACCACUGUGAUGGGGAUGUCAUUUUCCAUUCUCUCUGGACAGCAGAACAGAUGCUGUCUUGGACUUCAAAGAGAUUUGACUACUCUCUGAGUUUCAAUAAUGAACAACAACUUUUCACAGCCUAGUUUUCAAAAAGUGUAACAAAAUAUACAAAGGGAAAAGAUCAAGGAAGAAUUCAUCGGUCUUUCCUUUCUGAAAUCUUUUGAGGGACAGAAAGGAAGUCAAACUAAAAACAUUUGAUCUUUCCCAGGAACCUGGGCUGGACUGUAUUUAUUGGUUUUCAAAUCAGAUGGUUUACUCUAUGGCCUGAGAUCACGGUAAAGGGCCCAAGUGUAUAAUGAGAAGAUUGGCUUUGGGAGAUCAUUUGUAUAGAUACAUAUAUGUUAAAAGAUAUGCAUAAAAAUAGAAAACCCAGUUGGUGCUAAACAUGUCCCUUUUCUGUGCUUUUCUUUUGCUAGCUUAUCUAAUACUAGCUCUUGAAUUUAGCUUACAUAAUACAAUUGCAAGACAGUAAUAAAAAAAGACUCAAUAGUUUUGAGUAUUCUGAUAUGCAGGUAAGUUCUAGAAAGAAUAUAGACAAGUGUUCUAACCAAAAAAAUUAAGAAUAUUUCCAACACUGUUAGAAAAUUUGUAAUUGACUGAUAUAAUUCAAGAUUUUUAAAAAUCAGGAUAAUGUUUUUUUGUUAAUACCGUACCACAAUUACAAAUAUCUUCAAGAGAAGCAGGUAAAGAUCUGAGUUCUAAGUCUGCCAAACAUCACUCUGGGAGGCUGAUGUAGCAGGAUUGCAAGCUUGUGCCAGCCUGGGCAACUUAGCCACUCAGUGAGAUCCUGACUCAAAAUGUUUAAAAAUGAGAAUGAGUUGGACAUGUAGCUCAGUGAGGCCUUGGGAUCAAUGCCUAGUACUGGAAAAAAAAUCUGUGGAAGCUCAGUGGGAGAAAAUUAAUUCUAUUGGAUUGGCAUAAAAUAUGAAAACCUAUACAAGAAAUUGAACUAUUAUUGUUUCAUUAAUUUUUCAUAAAUUUUCUUUUCUAGUCUUUUAUUUCUUCCUGUGUCAUUUUCUCUCUUUUUGGUGAAAUUGAAACAGUACUCCCUUAAGAUUAUUUGUAGGGAUGCCCCUCAAGUACUUUUAUCUGCGAGGCCCUGCUUCAGGCAAAUCACAAACUAUCACAGUCAGUGGUGAGGCAAAAGUCGAAGGGCCUCACUGGUGUAUGUUUUUUAGCCUUACUCUUCCUAAUCAGUAUGUAUGUCUUACAUACCUUAACAUUUGUUUUAAGUAUACAAUUCACUGAUGUUUAGUGAUUUACCAAGUUGUACAACUAUUACCAGAGUCCAGUUAUAAAACGUUUCCUUCAUCCUAAAGAAAAGAUUCUAGAUGUUUGAAAUCAUAGGAGGGUAUUUCUGCACAAACACUGCAUACUAUCUAAUGAUCUCAUAGUGUGUACCAACAUCCUCAGCAUAGCUGAGAUAUCAGGCAGCUCUGAAACAUCAGUAUUGCCAUGUUGAAUCAGAUAAAUGCUCACCUCACCCUAAACAGAAUAAAGUAAUAAAACAAAGUAAUAAAAUCUGUAAGUAGCUUCUGUUUGAGUCAGAUUUGGCCUAUAAAGGAGCUCAGGUAGAGACAUCCAAUGAACUAGGAAAUGAUUUCAGUGUUUCGUUUUGAAAUUCCAAGUAACGUAUUAACCUGAAAUACUCCUUGUGAGAAUUUAAGAGUAAGUAAGGUGGUUAACAUAGCGCCAAAUACUCGGCCAACCAACUCUCUCGCUCUCCCACCCCCUAUCUCCCUCCGUGUGAUAGAGCUUGCAGAACAGUUUACAGAGUACUGUCUAUGUGGCCAGGGGCCCUCAUCCCCAGAUCUUCUGCCUUAUUAACUGGUGUUAAGAUAUUAGAGCAAAAUGGGAGCUGAUAUUUACUCAUUCUUAUAAAUCAGGCACUGUUCCUAAUAAUUUUCAUGUGCAUUAAUUCGGUCCUUAUAUCUGUCCUGUGAACCAGAUAGGCAUCAUCAUUUCCCGUUGCACAGAUAACAGUGUAUUGUAUCAGAUUGCUUUGGCUCAUAGAGCAGGGGAGGGUGGAAAGGAGCCUCAGAGUCAGGCACUCUGACCUCGCACCCACCUCCCAGUCCCAGGCUCUUACCUGGCAGGAAUGUGGCUUCAACUCUAGGUGGGCACUGGUGCCCUAAUUCUGAAAUACAGAAAGAACAAAACUGUGUAUCUGAAUUUACUUGAUGUUGCAAACUCUUAAUGUUUUAGAACUACAAAAGAUUGUAGUGUUUACAUAAUCCAAAUUAAUAUUUUAAACUAAAGGAAAUAAGAUCUUUAGUUAAGGAAAAAAACCUCAAGACCUCAGGAUAUCAAGCAACUUAAGGUCAGACAAAUAAUGGAAGACUAAAUUCUAGAUCCACUAGUUCCUUGACAAACACUCCUUGUUGAAUCCCGAAACAUCAUCUAAUGAAAUUAUACAUAUGGUCAAAUAAUAAUGGUCAAACAGAGUAAUCCAAAUUUUGUGUUUGGGGAGUAAAUAAUAAUGCAUCACUGCAUAAUUGUUUGAUAUUCUGUAAUAAAAGAGGUAUAGAGAAGACAGAGGUAUGGAGUGGAUCUAUUGUAGAGAGAGGUACAUAGUAGAGUAGAUAUGGAGUAGAUAAUGGAAGAAUUGAGCACAACCCGGUGUAUGGAAACAUCGAGAGCAGAGUAAUUAAUUCCUCUGUGACUAUAUGACACAAAUAGAAAAAAGAAAACACAGAAGAGGCACCUUCUGAACUGGCUCUGGUAGAUGCAUAGAACUGCCUUGAAGACAAAGAGGAAGGCGGGCUGCAUCGAGGACGCUUGUCGGUCUGGUGGCUGGUCCAGCAAGCAGACCCACGGGAAGGUGCCCAGGCCCUGCACUGGCGAUCUUCUGCAGCCAGAAGUUCCUGUGAUCAGCCUAAGACUGCAGACACGUUUUCGCAGUAAGAAUCUCGAGCCUUACAUGCCGACGGUGCUUUGUUUAGCUGCAGUUUCAGAACCCUAAAGCUCUUUAUUGCUUCUGUGGGCACUUAGGAGAUACUUUCAAUUCUUUUGGCUUCUUUGAUUUCUUCUAAUGAAGCGAGAGUAAGACAGGACCCUUGUACCUCUCUUUGAGUCACACUAUCCUGGUAUAGUCUCUGGAUCAGAGUAGAAACUUAAUGUAAAUAUUUUAACAAAAAAUGUUUAUUGGGCACAACAUACAGCAUUUUAUGUGCAUUUUUGUUUUAAUUCUAACAUUAGCCCUAUGAAAAGAUACCAAGAUUAGUCCAGAGAACUGAAAUUUAGAGACUGAGAGCAAGCUGUUUAAUGUGUAGACUUCCAACAAAACACAGACUCAUGUUGUCUACCUGCCUUUAACAUUUUCAAAAUGUGCUGGUCAUUUAUUAUUAUUUUCAUGACGUUACUGGCUCAUAAUUUUCUCAGUGUAAGAUAUAUUUUAUGUGAACUGAUACAGAAUUUCAAGGUGCCAUGUUUGUAUGGGAUGGAAAAUCAGGAAAAGUCAACAUGUUUUUCAAGAAAAUUAAAAAAUAUAAUACAAA